GACGAACGCUGGCGGCGUGCUUAACACAUGCAAGUCGAACGGAAAGACCCUGCUUUUGUGGGGUGCUCGAGUGGCGAACGGGUGAGUAACACGUGAGUAACCUGCCCUUGACUUUGGGAUAACUUCAGGAAACUGGGGCUAAUACCGGAUAGGAGCUCCUGCUGCAUGGUGGGGGUUGGAAAGUUUCGGCGGUUGGGGAUGGACUCGCGGCUUAUCAGCUUGUUGGUGGGGUAGUGGCUUACCAAGGCUUUGACGGGUAGCCGGCCUGGGAGGGUGACCGGCCACAUUGGGAUUGGGAUACGGCCCAGCCUCCUACGGGAGGCAGCAGUGGGGAAUAUUGCACAAUGGGCGGAAGCCUGAUGCAGCAACGCCGCGUGCGGGAUGACGGCCUUCGGGUUGUAAACCGCUUUCGCCUGUGACGAAGCGUGAGUGACGGUAAUGGGUAAAGAAGCACCGGCUAACUACGUG
rnacentral:rRNA from 1 species